CCUACGGGUGGCAGCAGUGAGGAAUAUUGGUCAAUGGGCGGAAGCCUGAACCAGCCAAGUAGCGUGCGGGAUGAAGGCCCUACGGGUCGUAAACCGCUUUUGUCCGGGGAUAACACCCUCCACUCGUCGCGGUCUGCAGGUACCGUGCGAAUAAGCGCCGGCUAAUUCCGUGCCAGCAGCCGCGGUAAUACGGAAGGUCCGAGCGUUAUCCGGAUUCAUUGGGUUUAAAGGGAGCGUAGGCGGGCGUUCAAGUCAGCUGUAAAAUCGCGCGGCUCAACCGCGCCCCGCAGUUGAAACUGGACGCCUUGAGUUGACGACAGGCAGGCGGAAUGCGUGGUGUAGCGGUGAAAUGCAUAGAUAUCGCGAAGAACCCCGAUUGCGAAGGCAGCCUGCCGGGGUGCGACUGACGCUGAGGCUCGAAGGUGCGGGUAUCGAACAGGAUUAGAUACCCCUGUAGUC
rnacentral:rRNA from 1 species